GCGCCCGUGGCCUAAUGGAUAAGGCGUCCGACUUCUAAUCGGGCGAUUGUGGGUUCGAGUCCCACCGGGCGUG
rnacentral:tRNA from 1 species